rnacentral:rRNA from 1 species
UACGGAGGAUGCAAGCGUUAUCCGGAAUGAUUGGGCGUAAAGCGUCCGCAGGUGGCAAUGUAAGUCUGCUGUCAAAGCGUCUGGCUCAACCAGAUAAAGGCAGUGGAAACUACAUAGCUAGAGUAAGGUAGGGGUAGAGGGAAUUCCUGGUGUAGCGGUGAAAUGCGUAGAGAUCAGGAAGAACACCGGUGGCGAAAGCGCUCUGCUGGACCUAAACUGACACUGAGGGACGAAAAGCUAGGGGGAGCGAAUGGG